GUUUCUCAUUCUCACUUUCUAGUGUAGGCUGGAAUCCCCACUAGAAGCUGAAACUGUGGCAACCUUGGAUUUCAGUAUUCCAAGCAGAAUCUUCACGUUUCUAAGGCACAAGAUACCUCAUUGAACCAGAAGAAACAAAAUCUAGCCCCAUCCAUAAGCAAACAGGAGUCUUGAGGGAGCCCUCCCUCUUCCCCCAGAUCUAACUGCUCAGCUAAUUUCUGGACAACAGCUUCGUACUUUCUCACAGCCUCAAUGAACCAAGCUUGAAGGAAUUCAAAAGGCAAUUUAGCUUAAAUAUAAAAAUAAAUUUUAUUUUGUUAAAAAAA